GACGAACGCUGGCGGCGUGCUUAACACAUGCAAGUCGAACGGAAAGGCCUGCUUUCCCUUGUGGAUUGCGGGUACUCGAGUGGCGAACGGGUGAGUAACACGUGAGUGAUCUGCCCCCAACUUGGGUAUAAGCCUGGGAUACUGGGUCUAAUUCCCGAUAGGACUGCAGGGUGGUGUCUGUGGUGGAAAACGAUUUUCUAGUGGUUGGGGAUGAGCUCGCGGCCUAUCAGCUUGUUGGUGGGGUAAUGGCCUACCAAGGCGGCGACGGGUAGCCGGCCUGAGAGGGUGGACGGCCACAGUGGGACGGAGAUACGGCCCAGACUCCUACGGGAGGCAGCAGUGGGGAAGAUUGCGCGAUGGGCGGAAGCCUGAUGCAGCGACGCCGCGUGGGGGAUGACGGGCUUCGGGUGGUAAACUCCUUUCGACCGCGAGGAAGCCACCUGGUUGGAAGGUUGGUGACGGUAGUGGUAGAAGAAGCACCGGCUAACUACGUG
rnacentral:rRNA from 1 species